ensembl:misc_RNA Metazoa_SRP Metazoan signal recognition particle RNA
ACUGAGUGCAGUGGCACGUACCUACAGUCCCAGCUACUCAGGAAGCUGAGCUGGGAGGACUGCUUGAGUCCAGGAGUUCUGGGCUGUAGUGAGCUAUGCCAAUUGGGUAUCCGCACUAAGUUCAGCAUCAAUAUAGUGACCUCUCAGGAGCCAGGGACCACCAGGUUGCCUAAGGAGGGAUGAACCGCUCCAGGUCGGAAACGGAGGUCAAAACUCCCAUGCUGAUCCGUAGUGGGAUCAUGCCUGUGAAAAGCCACUGCCCUCCAGCCUGGGCAACAUAGCGAGAUCCCAUCUCUU